rnacentral:rRNA from 1 species
AAUAUUGGUCAAUGAGCGAAAGCUUGAACCAGCCAAGUCGCGUGAAGGAUGAAUGCCCUACGGGUUGUAAACUUCUUUUUCAAGGGAAUAAAGUGGGCCACGCGUGGCCUUUUGCCUGUACCUUGCGAAUAAGGACCGGCUAACUCCGUCCCAUCAGCCGCGGUAAUACGGAGGAUCCGAGCGUUAUCCGGAUUUAUUGGGUUUAAAGGGUGCGCAGGCGGGGGAUUAAGUCGGUGGUGAAAUUUUGCGGCUCAACCGUAAGAGUGCCAUUGAUACUGGUUCCCUUGAGUGUAGAUGAAGUAGGCGGAAUUUGUGGUGUAGCGGUGAAAUGCAUAGAUAUCACGAGGAACUCCGAUUGCGCAGGCAGCUUACUAGGCUACUACUGACGCUCAUGCACGAAGGCGUGGGGAUCAAACAGG